GGUUAAGUGACUAAGCGUACAUGGUGGAUGCCUUGGCAGUCAGAGGCGAUGAAGGACGUACUAACCUGCGAUAAGCCGUGAGCAGUCGGUAAGAGACAUUACGACUCACGGA
rnacentral:rRNA from 2 species